rnacentral:lncRNA from 1 species
GGAGUCUGUGUGUCGUAGGAGUUCAUCCGGAAUCUAUCCGCUACAGAAGUUUUGUUGGAGUCCGGUCUCCGUAUAAGUCCGGAUGGAGAUCAUUUGUCGAGGAAGCUCGGUCGAAGCCUGCCUGCAAUAGAAGUUCGGAAGGAAUUCGUUCACAAUAAAAGCUUAGGGGGAGGCUUAUAGUAGAAAUCCGAUGUGGACCGCUUGUAGUAGAAAUUUGGAGCAGACCGCUUGUAGUGGUAGCUCGGAGUAGACCGCUUGUGGUAGGAAUUCAGAGUAGACCGCUUGUAGUGGUAGCUCGGAGCAGACUG